rfam:Echinostoma caproni strain Egypt genome assembly, scaffold: ECPE_contig0007105
GCACUGCUGACGAGUCCCAAACAGGAUGAAACAGCUGUUUAGUAC